rnacentral:rRNA from 1 species
UGGGGAAUCUUCCGCAAUGGACGAAAGUCUGACGGAGCAACGCCGCGUGAGUGAUGAAGGAUUUCGGUCUGUAAAGCUCUGUUGUUUAUGACGAACGUGCAGUGUGUGAACAAUGCAUUGCAAUGACGGUAGUAAACGAGGAAGCCACGGCUAACUACGUGCCAGCAGCCGCGGUAAUACGUAGGUGGCGAGCGUUGUCCGGAAUUAUUGGGCGUAAAGAGCAUGUAGGCGGCUUAAUAAGUCGAGCGUGAAAAUGCGGGGCUCAACCCCGUAUGGCGCUGGAAACUGUUAGGCUUGAGUGCAGGAGAGGAAAGGGGCAUUCCCAGUGUAGCGGUGAAAUGCGUAGAUAUUGGGAGGAACACCAGUGGCGAAGGCGCCUUUCUGGACUGUGUCUGACGCUGAGAUGCGAAAGCCAGGGUAGCGAACGGG